AUUGAACGCUGGCGGCAGGCCUAACACAUGCAAGUCGAGCGGUAGCACAGGGAGCUUGCUCUCGGGUGACGAGCGGCGGACGGGUGAGUAAUGUCUGGGAAACUGCCUGAUGGAGGGGGAUAACUACUGGAAACGGUAGCUAAUACCGCAUAACGUCGCAAGACCAAAGUGGGGGACCUUCGGGCCUCAUGCCAUCAGAUGUGCCCAGAUGGGAUUAGCUAGUAGGUGGGGUAACGGCUCACCUAGGCGACGAUCCCUAGCUGGUCUGAGAGGAUGACCAGCCACACUGGAACUGAGACACGGUCCAGACUCCUACGGGAGGCAGCAGUGAGGAAUAUUGCACAAUGGGCGCAAGCCUGAUGCAGCCAUGCCGCGUGUGUGAAGAAGGCCUUCGGGUUGUAAAGCACUUUCAGCGGGGAGGAAGGCGUUAAGGUUAAUAACCUUGGCGAUUGACGUUACCCGCAGAAGAAGCACCGGCUAACUCCGUGCCAGCAGCCGCGGUAAUACGGAGGGUGCAAGCGUUAAUCGGAAUUACUGGGCGUAAAGCGCACGCAGGCGGUCUGUCAGUCGGAUGUGAAAUCCCCGGGCUCAACCUGGGAACUGCAUUCGAAACUGGCAGGCUAGAGUCUUGUAGAGGGGGGUAGAAUUCCAGGUGUAGCGGUGAAAUGCGUAGGGAUCUGGAGGAAUACCGGUGGCGAAGGCGGCCCCCUGGACAAAGACUGACGCUCAGGUGCGAAAGCGUGGGGAGCAAACAGGAUUAGAUACCCUGGUAGUCCACGCCGUAAACGAUGUCGAUUUGGAGGUUGUGCCCUUGAGGCGUGGCUUCCGGAGCUAACGCGUUAAAUCGACCGCCUGGGGAGUACGGCCGCAAGGUUAAAACUCAAAUGAAUUGACGGGGGCCCGCACAAGCGGUGGAGCAUGUGGUUUAAUUCGAUGCAACGCGAAGAACCUUACCUGGUCUUGACAUCCACAGAACUUUCCAGAGAUGGAUUGGUGCCUUCGGGAACUGUGAGACAGGUGCUGCAUGGCUGUCGUCAGCUCGUGUUGUGAAAUGUUGGGUUAAGUCCCGCAACGAGCGCAACCCUUAUCCUUUGUUGCCAGCGGUUAGGCCGGGAACUCAAAGGAGACUGCCAGUGAUAAACUGGAGGAAGGUGGGGAUGACGUCAAGUCAUCAUGGCCCUUACGACCAGGGCUACACACGUGCUACAAUGGCAUAUACAAAGAGAAGCGACCUCGCGAGAGCAAGCGGACCUCAUAAAGUAUGUCGUAGUCCGGAUUGGAGUCUGCAACUCGACUCCAUGAAGUCGGAAUCGCUAGUAAUCGUAGAUCAGAAUGCUACGGUGAAUACGUUCCCGGGCCU
rnacentral:rRNA from 1 species